rnacentral:rRNA from 1 species
GACGAACGCUGGCGGCGUGCCUAAUACAUGCAAGUCGAGCGCAGGAAGCUGACGGAACUCUUCGGAGGGAAGGCAGUGGAAUGAGCGGCGGACGGGUGAGUAACACGUAAGGAACCUGCCUCAAGGAUUGGGAUAACUCCGAGAAAUCGGAGCUAAUACCGGAUAGUUCAACGGACCGCAUGGUCCGCUGAUGAAAGGCGCUUCGGCGUCACCUUGAGAUGGCCUUGCGGUGCAUUAGCUAGUUGGUGGGGUAACGGCCUACCAAGGCGACGAUGCAUAGCCGACCUGAGAGGGUGAUCGGCCACACUGGGACUGAGACACGGCCCAGACUCCUACGGGAGGCAGCAGUAGGGAAUCUUCCACAAUGGACGAAAGUCUGAUGGAGCAACGCCGCGUGAGUGAUGAAGGUUUUCGGAUCGUAAAACUCUGUUGUAAGGGAAGAACACGUACGAGAGGGAAUGCUCGUACCUUGACGGUACCUUACGAGAAAGCCACGGCUAACUACGUGCCAGCAGCCGCAGUAA